rnacentral:rRNA from 1 species
AGGAAGCCACUUCGGUGGCAGGAAGACAGGUGGUGCAUGGUUGUCGUCAGCUCGUGUCGUGAGAUGUUGGGUUAAGUCCCGCAACGAGCGCAACCCUUAUUGUUAGUUGCUACCAUUUAGUUGAGCACUCUAGCGAGACUGCCCGGGUUAACCGGGAGGAAGGUGGGGAUGACGUCAAAUCAUCAUGCCCCUUAUGUCUAGGGCUACACACGUGCUACAAUGGUCGGUACAAUGAGAUGCAACCUCGCGAGAGUGAGCAAAACUAUAAAACCGAUCUCAGUUCGGAUUGUAGGCUGAAACUCGCCUACAUGAAGCUGGAGUUGCUAGUAAUCGCGAAUCAGAAUGUCGCGGUGAAUACGUUCCCGGGCCUUGUACACACCGCCCGUCACACCAUGAGAGUUGGCAAUACCCAAAGUUCGUGAGCUAACGCGUAAGCGAGGCAGCGACCUAAGGUAGGGUCAGCGAUUGGGGUGAAGUCGUAACAAGGUAGCCGUAGGAGAACCUGCG